CUACGGGACGCUGCAGUGAUUAAUCUUUCACAAUGGGGGGAACCCUGAUGCAGCAACGCCGCGUGGAGGAUGACGCAUUUCGGUGUGUAAACUCCUUUUAUAUGUCAAGAAAAUGACGGUAGCAUAUGAAUAAGCACCGGCUAACUCCGUGCCAGCAGCCGCGGUAAUACGGAGGGUGCAAGCGUUACUCGGAAUCACUGGGCGUAAAGGACGCGUAGGCGGGUUGGAAAGUCAGGUGUGAAAUCCUACAGCUUAACUGUAGAACUGCACUUGAAACUUCUAAUCUAGAGUAUGGGAGGGGGAGAUGGAAUUAGUGGUGUAGGGGUAAAAUCCGUAGAUAUCACUAGGAAUACCUAAAGCGAAGGCGAUCUCCUGGAACAUUACUGACGCUAAGGCGUGAAAGCGUGGGGAGCAAACAGGAUUAGAUACCCUAGUAGUC
rnacentral:rRNA from 1 species